UUAUUGUGAUUUGGAUGAACAGACUGUUAUUGUUGAAUUUUUACACUUUUUACAAUUUUGCAGUAAGACUAAAGAAAUCAGUUGCGCGUGAUCUGACUCAAAAACAGUGUUCAAAUAUGAACCUGGUAAUUACUUUUUACACAGUGAAAUGUGUUUUUUUUCUCACAACAAAGACAUUCACUAACUAAGCAUCAUUUAAAAUACAGAUUCCCAAACAUGCUCUGCCCUUAUUUGAACGCACGGAUGACAAGCUAAGCUUUUCGCUUGCAUGUAUGUCUUGUGUUUGAGUGGGAGUGUGUGCUGUGAAAGUGGAUUUAAAAGUAUGAGAAGAUUCAUUACGGAGACAGAAAGACAGGGAAACUCUCCUGAUUAACCGGAGGGCAGACAGGCUUAAAGCUGAGAGCAGAUGCCACAGCACAACGUCGCAUGCUUCGGCGGCACAGGAGCUCAGCACCAACACAAGUAGAAUGUGAAGGCAUACUGCCGCAUGACAACAUCCUGCCCUCGAAUAUACUUCAGCACAAAGGAGGUGCAUGGCUGCAUUCUCCAUUCUGCCCUCUCUUCUGCACCCCGAUCUCUCUGAUUUCAUCUACGCUGUGGUUUGAUUCUCUGUCUCACACACACACACACACACACACAAACCCGCACUCUCUAAUUUACCUUCUCCAUCCCAAGUGCCUCUUAAUCGCUUGUUCUCUCUCCUCUCUUUCGAUCUCCCUCCCUCUCCCUUUCUUUCUCGCCUCCUCCCCUGCCUGAGGAUCCAUUGAGGAUUCACAACAAUAGAGUUGUGGACUGGAUUAAGCAAUACAAUGUCUGAUGGAGGGGGUGUAGUGGGGAGAAAUCAAUGGGCAGAUGUGAUUUCCUAAGCCGCUAAACAUCCUCUGACACGUCGACCAAUUAGCUGUGUCAAAUGGGGAUAUCUUUACUACGUGUACAAGGUCAUUAGAUAAGUACGUCCGUUGAGCUUGAGCUUUCUGCACAUUAUUUGUCCUCGAAUGUGUGUGUUUGUGUGCUAAGACAAAGGGAAGUAUGAGAUGUACACAUUUAACAAUAGAGCUCGGUGUAGCUCCUUCGUCUUGAUUACCUGUCUGCACUGCUUAAUAACAUUUGGGAUUGCACAAUUUGCAGCUUGUCACACUCAUCGCAGUUGCAUUCAGUUUAGACGAAUGAAUCGAGAAGCAAUUGUGCAGUCAUUUCUGUUUCGUACGGUGAGUAAAUGCGGUUAGAGAAAGCUGUUGGUUUGUAAGAACACCUUUCAAGACACCCACUGCUUCUCAUUCCUCUUCUUUCUGUUGUCACAGGACACCUACUGAAGAAAAUGAAUGACAGAGUGAUGUCUUUUAUUUUUCUUCUCUGCACUGAAAAACACAAUAUCCAACAGCAAACUAUAGCUCACAUGUAUAACUGUGCUCUGUUCAGGUUUUCUUGGUGUAAAGGAAGCUGCUUCGUUGGGAGAUGCUACACUCGUGUUCAUUGCUGAUAUGUUUAUCUUGGUAAAAAUCUGCACAUCCUUUUGUGCAGUAGCAAUACCAACCUCAUGCAUCUCACUAAAUGUUUAACAAAUCUUUACCAUUUAAAUAGUGGUGACAAGUUGUUCAUAUGAUGAUUUAUUUAUGAUCAUGAUCAUGCAUCCCUACUAAUGUAUUGCUCACCUUAUGCUGUAAAUCUCACUGCAGCUGCUGAUUUAGGUCAGUUGACCAGAUUGGAUGUCUUAAAGUGAAACUCCUCAUAAUAAACCGGGGAGCCACUGGUAGAGAGAUUGUGGUGAGUUUGUGUUAUGGGUGCAGUUAUUACUGACCAUCGCCUCGAGCUAAGACAAGCUGGCUGCAAAUAUGGAACAGCGCCCUUGAUAAAACAGAGAAUAAGAGAGUAAGUUGUAGGAAUUGUUAUGUCAAUUUGACCUCAGCUUAAACUGUCAAGGCAAUGUAAUGCUAAUCACAAGAAUUGGCCAUGGUGUAUAUAACAAGUACAUACAGCCAGCAGUGUUCUUCCUCUAUUGAAGGCAAUUGGACGGUGGUAGAAGAGUACACCAAUAAGUAGAAGAUUUUUUAAAAGAUUAUGUUCUUUGCUUGUUGUCUCCUAUUUUUGUUAUGAUUUGGCAAAUAAAUCACAUGCAUGUCCAAGAUACUGUCUGUUAUGUCAAAAGGUAAAUAAUAUAAUACGUACACAUAACAUGAUGAACGUAACAAUAACAGUUUUUUAAAACUCAACUGAUGAGCUCCCAUGAAUCCAGUCCUACAUUUUUCUCCUUUCAUUACCUGUCAGCCAAUAGCUCCUUGCAUUGUUAAUGCAAGUGAACAUUGAUUAAGCUUCCUACUUUUACAACACAUUACUUUCUUCUCCUCCAUAUGGCACCAAGCUGUAUGUCAUAUUUGAUGUAGGUGUGCAGAGACUGCAUUAAUUGUGCUCUGUGUUAUGUUUCAGGAAGGCUGUUAUAUCUAAUGACGAUCAACUUUAUUCAUGUUUGUCAUGAUCAUGUCUGUGUGUCUUGUUGGGGAGUCUGGGUUUUAGUUCUAUAUAUUUGUUCUUAGUCCUGGUCCUUAGUUCAUGUUUUAGUAUUCGCUUCUAGUUCUUGUUUACUUUAUUUUGGUUUAGUCUACUCUGUACUCUGUGUUCUAGUUCUGUGUUUUGGUACUUUGUAACGUGUUCUGUCUGUUUCCCCAGUUCUCUCUCUGCCUGCCUCAUUAGCCUUGUGUUACAGUGUUUGCAGUGUUUUUGUGGUGUGAAGAAGCUCUGUCGGUUUUGGAUAUCUGCCUGAAAAUUUGUCAACCUGCAUUUUGGAUUUUGUGUUUUCCCUUGCCCUUGUAGAUUCUUCUUUGGACUCAGCCACUGCUUGUAAGUGCGCUCACCUUUGGUUUGUUUAAAUAAAUCUUUGAACUAUACCUGCAAGCCGUGUGUCCUGCAUUUGUGCCAAGCCUGACCCCCGGCCUGCUGGCACUGAGCUUCGGUCUGCAAGCACCCCUGCGGCUAGCCCCCUGCCUGAUUCCCGGCCUGCGGGCUGCACGCUGGGAAGCCUCCACCUGUCCUGCUCGGCUAGCGCUGCUAGUCCUCCGCCUGAUAUGCCAGUCCCCAGCUCGGCUAGCGCUGCUAGUCCUCCGCCUGAUCGGCCAGUCUCCAGCCCGGCUAGCGCUGCUAGUCCUCAGCCUGUUCCCAGUGCGGCUAGCUCCAGGCCGUCUGUUCCCUGGCCUGCUAACCCCCAGAGGACUUGUUCCCGGCCUGCUAGCUGCAGGGUGGGAGGCUUCUUCCUCUCCCGGCCUGCUGGCGCCCGGCCUGCUGGUCGCUCGCCAGAUUCCCGCCUGGUUAUCCCCCUCCUGUGUUGGCUCCAGCAUCCAGACUGGUUGGGAACUCCUGGACAUCUAGCUCUCUGGUCUCCUUUUUGAUGGACUUGGCAUUAGAGCCAGAGAGCCCAAGGACUGCUGGUCCCCAACCAGUCCGCCAAGCAGCUAGCUGUCAGCCAGCUAACCCCGUGCCUGCCCUGCCUAAUUACUGGCCAGCUAGCGCUGCUAGCCUCCUGCCUGCCCACCUGUCUGAUCCAAGGCCUGCUAGCGCUACUAGCAGCCUUCCUGAUCUCCAGCUGACUCCUGUUCCCUCGUCGGUGUACCGACCGGCACCAGCUCCGCCGGUGGUCCAAUCGGUACCAGUCCCUCCAGUGUUCCAACCAACUCCUGCUCCCUGUGCUCAGUCCUCGGACCUCAUCCCAGCUGUCUCGCCGGUGGUCAUCAGCCCAGAAGCUCAGUCUGUGGACCUCAGGCUAGCAGCUCAGCUCGUGGACCUCAGCCCAGCCAUCCUGCCGGUGGACCUCAGUCCGGCUAUCCAUUCGUCGGCCCUCAAUCCAGCUCUGCUACUUGAGGUUCCAGGCCUCCUACGCCGGCCUCUUGCUUGUCCUCCGGAGAGGUCACGUCUCCGCCGCCGACCUACAGGGAGAUCACGUCUCCGCUGCCGGUCUCCAGUUCAUCCUCCGAAGAGGUCUCGCCUUUUUUGGUCACCUGUCUGGCCUCAGGUGAGCCCCUGUUCUCUCUGUCGUCCUCCAGCACGACCUCCUGAACUCAGUUUCCUGCCUGAUCUUGCUCGGUCGACCUUCGGGUCAGCCUCCCGAACUGUUUUGCCCCCUAGAUCUGCCUGUUUUUUGUCGUGUCAUUAGCUUGUGUUACAGUGUUUGCAGUGUUUUCGUGGUGUGAAGAAGCGCUGUCGGUUUUGGAUAUCUGCCUGAAACUUUGUCAACCUGCAUUUUGGAUUUUGUGUUUUCCCUUGCCCUUGUGGAUUCUUCUUUGGACUCAGCCACUGCUUUCAAUACAUUGGCUCUGUAACCUUUGAGGAUUUCCCCACUUUCCUCACAUGGCCUCACGCAUCGCAUACCAUAUGACCGAUUCAAGCAGAGGAAAUUUUGCACUGCCAGGCGCAUCUUAGCAUCCUAGCAUACCGUGUUGUUUUCCAGGUUUGAGCUGUGCUUGGCUGACUGAGUCCAGGACAGCUGUGAGUGAGGGCCAUUCACUGCUCUGUCAGGGGUGGAGAUGGAGGCACUGAACUGAGGCCAGCCAUCCUGUGCUACUCCUACAUGUCACCUUUUCUCUGUGUAAUGGGUUCCUGUGUGGAAGACAGCUUGGAGUGAAAAGGAGAAAUAUGUUAUUUCCCCCCCGUGUGUUUAGAAAUACUGACAAAUUCUCAGGUUGCCUGUUUCCACGCAGCAGCGUCCAUUUUGGAUCUUCUUACCCCGAGGCCAACCAUGCUGCCUCUCACUACAUGGGAUCUUGUGUCCUCUUCACCUUCUCAAUAAUUCAAUGGAAAGAGGAGACGUCAGCUCUGGUAUAAUUACGGUGUGAGGGUGACAAGCUCCUCUGUCAAGGGCAAGAUGGGACCAAGCUUUACAGUACUGGAGAGAGCUAAAAGACACAACAGCAGUGUUCUAUACCGUGACACUGUCGAUGACAAAAGCUUCAGCUACAGGGAGAUGAUGAAACUGCAGGUAAUUUGGGGGGAAAAAAUUGUGACAACAUUAGCUGUUUUUGUGUUUUUGUUAGAACUCAACUCAGUGCCUAAGCAUUGCAAACCUGAAAAAAGGACAGUCAUUAGACACAGGUGCAACAUUUAAGCUGUAACAUGUCUCUUGUUCUGCAAGUUCUCAGUGGUCAAGCAGCAACACGAUCCAUCACUGUUAGGCAGAGAGGUGUGUGAGAUCUGAUUUCAGCUCUGGGCCUAGCUGAGGUGACAGAUCCUGUUAAUAUAACACCAGCCAAACCCCAAACUUCCUGCUUGCAGAAAGCCUCGGCAUAAGCAUACCUGCCAAGAUAUGACUAAAACUGUUACUGUCACCGCGGCCUAAAUCCUGGCAUGGGUAAAGGCUUGGCACAGAGCCCCCAGUUAAAAUGAGCUAGACAAAGUAGGCAGUCAUUAGAAGUAGAUGUUUUGACACGCUGUCUCCCACGGGUACCCAGGAAAGGGUCUGGACCAAAAUGCAUCAAGUCUCCCAGUGCAGGAGUGUCUCAUUCAUGCUGAUGCAAAAGGCUGAGCUAAUCCAAGAUCGCCACUGAUGAUGAAACUCUUCUUAUGUGUCUGAAACCACACAAAAUGGUCUAAGAAUCCCAGGCAAAUCAGGGAUUUCGUUAUAAUCCC